AAAACUCUAAGCGGUGGAUCACUCGGCUCAUGGGUCGAUGAAGAACGCAGCAAACUGUGCGUCAUCGUGUGAACUGCAGGACACAUGAACAUCGACAUUUUGAACGCAUAUCGCAGUCCAUGCUGUUAUGUACUUUAAUUAAUUUUAUAGUGCUGCUUGGACUACAUAUGGUUGAGGGUUGUAAGACUAUGCUAAUUAAGUUGCUUAUAAAUUUUUAUAAGCAUAUGGUAUAUUAUUGGAUAAAUAUAAUAAUUUUUAUUCAUAAUAUUAAAAAAUAAAUGAAAAACAUUAUCUCACAUUUGAAUGUGAAAAACGAAGAGAAAUAUUUUCUUUUUCAAUCAAAUAAUACUGAGAAAUGUCUAGCAUAAAAAAUUGAAAUAUUUUUCAUCUAGAAUUGUCUCUUAUUAAUGAUUCGGAAAUAGAAAAAUCUUGGUUAUGUUAUUAUUCUUCGUUGGUUCGUUAAAAAUGGAUAAAUAAAAACUUUGCAUACAAGAAUUAAUAAAAAUGUUAUAACGAAUUUAAUUAAAUGUUUUAUCAUUAUAUAUAAAGAAUUUAUGGCAAGAUAAAGUUAUAUACAACCUCAACUCAUAUGGGACUACCCCCUGAAUUUAAGCAUAUUAAUUAGGGGAGGAAAAGAAACUAACAAGGAUUUUCUUAGUAGCGGCGAGCGAAAAGAAAACAGUUCAGCACUAAGUCACUUUGUCUAUAUGGCAAAUGUGAGAUGCAGUGUAUGGAGCGUCAAUAUUCUAGUAUGAGAAAUUAACGAUUUAAGUCCUUCUUAAAUGAGGCCAUUUACCCAUAGAGGGUGCCAGGCCCGUAUAACGUUAAUGAUUACUAGAUGAUGUUUCCAAAGAGUCGUGUUGCUUGAUAGUGCAGCACUAAGUGGGUGGUAAACUCCAUCUAAAACUAAAUAUAACCAUGAGACCGAUAGUAAACAAGUACCGUGAGGGAAAGUUGAAAAGAACUCUGAAUAGAGAGUUAAACAGUACGUGAAACUGCUUAGAGGUUAAGCCCGAUGAACCUGAAUAUCCGUUAUGGAAAAUUCAUCAUUAAAAUUGUAAUAUUUAAAUAAUAUUAUGAGAAUAGUGUGCAUUUUUUCCAUAUAAGGACAUUGUAAUCUAUUAGCAUAUACCAAAUUUAUCAUAAAAUAUAACUUAUAGUUUAUUCCAAUUAAAUUGCUUGCAUUUUAACACAGAAUAAAUGUUAUUAAUUUGAUAAAGUGCUGAUAGAUUUAUAUGAUUACAGUGCGUUAAUUUUUCGGAAUUAUAUAAUGGCAUAAUUAUCAUUGAUUUUUGUGUUUAUUAUAUGCACUUGUAUGAUUAACAAUGCGAAAGAUUCAGGAUACCUUCGGGACCCGUCUUGAAACACGGACCAAGGAGUCUAACAUAUGUGCAAGUUAUUGGGAUAUAAACCUAAUAGCGUAAUUAACUUGACUAAUAAUGGGAUUAGUUUUUUAGCUAUUUAUAGCUAAUUAACACAAUCCCGGGGCGUUCUAUAUAGUUAUGUAUAAUGUAUAUUUAUAUUAUUUAUGCCUCUAACUGGAACGUACCUUGAGCAUAUAUGCUGUGACCCGAAAGAUGGUGAACUAUACUUGAUCAGGUUGAAGUCAGGGGAAACCCUGAUGGAAGACCGAAACAGUUCUGACGUGCAAAUCGAUUGUCAGAAUUGAGUAUAGGGGCGAAAGACCAAUCGAACCAUCUAGUAGCUGGUUCCUUCCGAAGUUUCCCUCAGGAUAGCUGGUGCAUUUUAAUAUUAUAUAAAAUAAUCUUAUCUGGUAAAGCGAAUGAUUAGAGGCCUUAGGGUCGAAACGAUCUUAACCUAUUCUCAAACUUUAAAUGGGUAAGAACCUUAACUUUCUUGAUAUGAAGUUCAAGGUUAUGAUAUAAUGUGCCCAGUGGGCCACUUUUGGUAAGCAGAACUGGCGCUGUGGGAUGAACCAAACGUAAUGUUACGGUGCCCAAAUUAACAACUCAUGCAGAUACCAUGAAAGGCGUUGGUUGCUUAAAACAGCAGGACGGUGAUCAUGGAAGUCGAAAUCCGCUAAGGAGUGUGUAACAACUCACCUGCCGAAGCAACUAGCCCUUAAAAUGGAUGGCGCUUAAGUUGUAUACCUAUACAUUACCGCUAAAGUAGAUGAUUUAUAUUACUUGUGAUAUAAAUUUUGAAACUUUAGUGAGUAGGAAGGUACAAUGGUAUGCGUAGAAGUGUUUGGCGUAAGCCUGCAUGGAGCUGCCAUUGGUACAGAUCUUGGUGGUAGUAGCAAAUAAUCGAAUGAGACCUUGGAGGACUGAAGUGGAGAAGGGUUUCGUGUGAACAGUGGUUGAUCACGAGUUAGUCGGUCCUAAGUUCAAGGCGAAAGCCGAAAAUUUUCAAGUAAAACAAAAAUGCCUAACUAUAUAAACAAAGCGAAUUAUAAUACACUUGAAUAAUUUUGAACGAAAGGGAAUACGGUUCCAAUUCCGUAACCUGUUGAGUAUCCGUUUGUUAUUAAAUAUGGGCCUCGUGCUCAUCCUGGCAACAGGAACGACCAUAAAGAAGCCGUCGAGAGAUAUCGGAAGAGUUUUCUUUUCUGUUUUAUAGCCGUACUACCAUGGAAGUCUUUCGCAGAGAGAUAUGGUAGAUGGGCUAGAAGAGCAUGACAUAUACUGUUGUGUCGAUAUUUUCUCCUCGGACCUUGAAAAUUUAUGGUGGGGACACGCAAACUUCUCAACAGGCCGUACCAAUAUCCGCAGCUGGUCUCCAAGGUGAAGAGUCUCUAGUCGAUAGAAUAAUGUAGGUAAGGGAAGUCGGCAAAUUAGAUCCGUAACUUCGGGAUAAGGAUUGGCUCUGAAGAUUGAGAUAGUCGGGCUUGAUUGGGAAACAAUAACAUGGUUUAUGUGCUCGUUCUGGGUAAAUAGAGUUUCUAGCAUUUAUGUUAGUUACUUGUUCCCCGGAUAGUUUAGUUACGUAGCCAAUUGUGGAACUUUCUUGCUAAAAUUUUUAAGAAUACUAUUUGGGUUAAACCAAUUAGUUCUUAUUAAUUAUAACGAUUAUCAAUUAACAAUCAAUUCAGAACUGGCACGGACUUGGGGAAUCCGACUGUCUAAUUAAAACAAAGCAUUGUGAUGGCCCUAGCGGGUGUUGACACAAUGUGAUUUCUGCCCAGUGCUCUGAAUGUCAAAGUGAAGAAAUUCAAGUAAGCGCGGGUCAACGGCGGGAGUAACUAUGACUCUCUUAAGGGAAAGGAAACCACUCUCCAAUGCUUAUCGCUAUAUCUCCUGGGAAUUUUUCCGGCACAGGGUGUACGACACACACUGACGAGACCUCCUCGGAGACCUCGGAACAGGAGAGAAAGCAGAAGGCAGCAGUACGCUGUCGUCCAGCGUAACUGGGAUAAGCAUAAAGGAAGAUGCAUCAAGUCCUUGCUAAAUGGAACUGAUGAGUCGGUAAUGCCAAGCCAAGAAAUAAUGGUUCCCUACUGGAGAGAAGUAAUGACUCAGCCUAGCCCAAGCUCUUGCAGUGGAGAAGUGAUACAAAUGGAUCACUCGCUUGAGAGGGUAUGGUCUGCUAUUACAGAGCAGGACCUUCGGGCGUCAAGAGUCUCAUUAUCCUCGUCUCCGGGGCCUGACGGGAUAACUCCAAAAUCUGCCAGGGAGGUGCCGUCAGGUAUUAUGCUGCGCAUAAUGAACCUAAUUCUAUGGUGCGGUAAUCUACCACACUCUAUACGACUGGCCAGAACCGUCUUCAUCCCGAAGACGGUGACGGCGAAGCGACCGCAAGACUUUCGUCCAAUAUCAGUGCCUUCAGUCCUGGUAAGACAGCUAAAUGCAAUAUUGGCAACCCGGUUGAACUCAUCAAUCAAUUGGGACCCGC
rnacentral:rRNA from 1 species